rnacentral:rRNA from 1 species
UACGGGGGGGGGCAAGCGUUGUUCGGAGUUACUGGGCGUAAAGGGCUCGUAGGUGGCCAACUAAGUCAGACGUGAAAUCCCUCGGCUUAACCGGGGAACUGCGUCUGAUACUGGAUGGCUUGAGUUUGGGAGAGGGACGCGGAAUUCCAGGUGUAGCGGUGAAAUGCGUAGAUAUCUGGAGGAACACCGGUGGCGAAGGCGGCGUCCUGGACCAAUACUGACACUGAGGAGCGAAAGCCAGGGGAGCAAACGGG